rnacentral:tRNA from 1 species
AAGAUAAUCCAAAUUAAGCUUCUAACUUAACUUUUUAGCAGUAAUUCUGUUAGUAUCUUU